GCUGUAUUCGGCUCAUUGAGGCCCUUGUGUCCAGAGUGUCCUGAUUUCCUGGGAAGGGUGGAUAUAGAGGAAGCCAGGACAGCUGCGUUGUCCCCCUUUUAUAAGGGGGACUCCUAGUAUCUUUGGAUGACAUAGUGCUGUGAAGUUCCCUGAAUUCAACCCCUUAUGUUGGGAGCCAGAUCAAAUGUGACUGACAUCUGACCACGUCCUAGGACUGCCAGGAACAACAACUGAGCUCUUGCUUACCGUCUUGUCAGUCUUGUAAGUGACUGGAGCAUGUUCACUUGGCAUCCUUGGUCCCAUAAAGCCAGCGUCAGACAAUAUGAAAUUGCUGUUUUAAAUAAUCAGCAGGACUGUAACAUCUCCCACUGAAUAAGAGGUUGGGAAGAGAGUUUAAUAGGAAUGGUUUGGGAGUUCUUGUCGUGGCUCAGUGGUAAUGAACCCAACUAGUAUCCGUGAGGUUCAAUUUCUAGCCUCGCUCAGUGGGUUAAGGAUCUGCCCUUGCCAUGAGCUGUGGUGUAGGUCACAGACAUGGCUCGGAUCCUGCAUGGCGUGUGGCUCUGCUGGCCUCCACCACAGCCACAGCAACACCAGAUCUGAGCCUCAUCUUCAACCUACGCCACAGCUUGCAGCAAUGCUGGAACUUUAACCCACUGAGCAAGGCCAGGGAUUGAACCUGUGUCCUCACAGGCACCGUAUCGGGUUCUUAACCCUCUGAGCCACCACAUGAACUCCAAGGUCUGGUUUUAGGCUGCAUAUGCAGCCCUAUGUGAAGCAAUGAAACGUGAAGGGGGACAUUUUCAUCUAAAGUGUCAGGAAGAGCGUGGGUUUUACAUCAGAAGUGGUCACACAAGGAAUCCACAGCAUUUCUGUUUGAAAUUUAAUUAUGUGGGAAGAAUUCUGGGUACAUGGGGUUGGUGACCACACAGGUUUUUAGUUCCCAUGUUAAAACAACAGCAGUGAUAGCAAAACUAGGUAACAAGGUGCCCUCGCAACCCCCCAAAACACGAGCAGGUGGAGAUGAAGCACCAGCAGCCCCACAACCUGCCAGGGUACAGUGUCUGUGAGAGAGGAACAGGGAGGAGGUGGUGGGGCAGCAUCUGGGAGACAUGAGGACGGGAGAACCACCUCACAACCGUCAGGACCCACGGGGCCGAGUCCCUGUUGCCCCUAGGAAUUCUCAAAAGCAACUUGCCAGAGGCCCUUCCAGGAUGAGGCCACACACUGAAGAGAAGUUGCUGGGGUGGAAUCACGGUUGGGCAGGUCAGGGACAAUAGACAAAGGAGAUUGUCUAGAUCAAGGUGGACAAGGCAGCAGAGCCAGGAAGUCCCAGGAAUCAAUGCAGAAACAACAAGAGUGAACCUGUGAAGGUAACGAAGCUUUCCUGAAUCCUUUGUCCCAAACUUCAGGAAAAUUAAUUUUACAGAAAAAAUGAACAACAUAAUAGCAUCGAGGUCAAAUCUCAUGUAAAAUUAUAAGCAAGAAGACUAAGUGAAUAAUAUCUCUGUGGAGAAUGAAAGCAUUCCAGA
rnacentral:lncRNA from 1 species